UACGGAGGGUGCAAGCGUUAUCCGGAUUUACUGGGUUUAAAGGGUGCGUAGGCGGGCUUUUAAGUUCAGCGGUGAAAUCUCCGGGCUCAACCCGGAAAAUUGCCGUUGAUACUAUUAGUCUUGAAUUAAGUUUGAGGUGGGCGGAAUAUGUCAUGUAGCGGUGAAAUGCUUAGAUAUGACAUAGAACACCGAUUGCGAAAGGCAGCUCGCUAAACUUAUAUUGACGCUGAGGCAACGAAAGCGUGGGGGAUCAAACAGGGAAUUAGAU
rnacentral:rRNA from 1 species